rnacentral:rRNA from 1 species
UACGGAGGGUGCGAACGUUGUUCGGAAUUAUUGGGCGUAAAGAGCAUGUAGGCGGUCUGUCAAGUCUGAUGUGAAAGCCCCGGGCUCAACCCGGGAAGUGCAUUGGAAACUGGCAGACUUGAGUACGGGAGAGGAAAGUGGAAUUUCGAGUGUAGGGGUGAAAUCCGUAGAUAUUCGAAGGAACACCAGUGGCGAAGGCGGCUUUCUGGACCGAUACUGACGCUGAGAUGCGAAAGCGUGGGGAGCAAACAGG